rnacentral:tRNA from 1 species
GGCCUCGUAGCUCAGUUGGCUAGAACAUUGGUUGUGUUAAAGCCUUCCCCUUGAUGGUGUGUGUUCGAAUCUCACCGAGGCUG